AUGCUCUUGCACAUUCUCAUUAAUAUUCAUAUAUUCGUGACGAAACUGUAUGUGCAUUUUAUUACCUCCCAUCUGCUUGUAAGUCAGUUCCUUGCCGCCAUCCUAAGUGAACGCAUCGUAUUUCUACAUCGUCGAUAAUUAGCAUCGUUCCUAACAGAAGACAAUGAUGAAGGUUAACAACAUCAUCAUGCUUGCGGCGUUUAUCGCUAUUUUUGCUAUCAUUUUGGUAAACGUAGAAG